GGUUAAGCGACUAAGCGUACACGGUGGAUGCCUAGGCAGUCAGAGGCGAUGAAGGGCGUGCUAAUCUGCGAAAAGCGUCGGUAAGCUGAUAUGAAGCGUAAUAACCGACGAUACCCGAAUGGGGAAACCCAGUGCAAUUCGUUGCACUAUUGCAUGGUGAAUACAUAGCCAUGCAAGGCGAACCGGGGGAACUGAAACAUCUAAGUACCCCGAGGAAAAGAAAUCAACCGAGAUUCCCCCAGUAGCGGCGAGCGAACGGGGAAGAGCCCAGAGUCUGAAUCAGUUUGUGUGUUAGUGGAAGCGUCUGGAAAGUCGCACGGUACAGGGUGAUAGUCCCGUACACAAAAACACACUGGCUGUGAACUCGAUGAGUAGGGCGGGACACGUGACAUCCUGUCUGAAUAUGGGGGGACCAUCCUCCAAGGCUAAAUACUCCUGACUGACCGAUAGUGAACCAGUACCGUGAGGGAAAGGCGAAAAGAACCCCGGCGAGGGGAGUGAAAUAGAACCUGAAACCGUGUACGUACAAGCAGUGGGAGCCCCACCACCAAAGCAUUCUCUGGUGUUAAAGGCCAUGCUGAAGCUCAAUCACGCGUUGGCGGAGCGUCCUUUGCGACGCUCAACACAAAAAAACAAGCGGUGAGUGCUUUGGGGUGGGGUGACUGCGUACCUUUUGUAUAAUGGGUCAGCGACUUAUAUUUUGUAGCAAGGUUAACCGAAUAGGGGAGCCGUAGGGAAACCGAGUCUUAACUGGGCGUCUAGUUGCAAGGUAUAGACCCGAAACCCGGUGAUCUAGCCAUGGGCAGGUUGAAGGUUGGGUAACACUAACUGGAGGACCGAACCGACUAAUGUUGAAAAAUUAGCGGAUGACUUGUGGCUGGGGGUGAAAGGCCAAUCAAACCGGGAGAUAGCUGGUUCUCCCCGAAAGCUAUUUAGGUAGCGCCUCGUGAACUCAUCUUCGGGGGUAGAGCACUGUUUCGGCUAGGGGUCCAUCCCGGAUUACCAAACCGAUGCAAACUCCGAAUACCGAAGAAUGUUAUCACGGGAGACACACGGCGGGUGCUAACGUCCGUCGUGAAGAGGGAAACAACCCAGACCGCCAGCUAAGGUCCCAAAGUCAUGGUUAAGUGGGAAACGAUGUGGGAAGGCAUAGACAGCCAGGAUGUUGGCUUAGAAGCAGCCAUCAUUUAAAGAAAGCGUAAUAGCUCACUGGUCGAGUCGGCCUGCGCGGAAGAUGUAACGGGGCUAAACCAUGCACCGAAGCUGCGGCAGCGA
rnacentral:rRNA from 1 species